CGAUGACGGUACCUGAAGAAUAAGCACCGGCUAACUACGUGCCAGCAGCCGCGGUAAUACGUAGGGUGCGAGCGUUAAUCGGAAUUACUGGGCGUAAAGCGGGCGCAGACGGUUACUUAAGCAGGAUGUGAAAUCCCCGGGCUCAACCCGGGAACUGCGUUCUGAACUGGGUGACUCGAGUGUGUCAGAGGGAGGUGGAAUUCCACGUGUAGCAGUGAAAUGCGUAGAGAUGUGGAGGAAUACCGAUGGCGAAGGCAGCCUCCUGGGAUAACACUGACGUUCAUGUCCGAAAGCGUGGGUAGCAAACAGGAUUAGAUACCCUGGUAGUCCACGCCCUAAACGAUGUCAAUUAGCUGUUGGGCAACUUGAUUGCUUGGUAGCGUAGCUAACGCGUGAAAUUGACCGCCUGGGGAGUACGGUCGCAAGAUUAAAACUCAAAGGAAUUGACGGGGACCCGCACAAGCGGUGGAUGAUGUGGAUUAAUUCGAUGCAACGCGAAGAACCUUACCUGGUUUUGACAUGUGCGGAAUCCUCCGGAGACGGAGGAGUGCCUUCGGGAGCCGUAACACAGGUGCUGCAUGGCUGUCGUCAGCUCGUGUCGUGAGAUGUUGGGUUAAGUCCCGCAACGAGCGCAACCCUUGUCAUUAGUUGCCAUCAUUCGGUUGGGCACUCUAAUGAGACUGCCGGUGACAAGCCGGAGGAAGGUGGGGAUGACGUCAAGUCCUCAUGGCCCUUAUGACCAGGGCUUCACACGUCAUACAAUGGUCGGUACAGAGGGUAGCCAAGCCGCGAGGCGGAGCCAAUCUCACAAAACCGAUCGUAGUCCGGAUUGCACUCUGCAACUCGAGUGCAUGAAGUCGGAAUCGCUAGUAAUCGCAGGUCAGCAUACUGCGGUGAAUACGUUCCCGGGUCUUGUACACACCGCCCGUCACACCAUGGGAGUGGGGGAUACCAGAAGUAGGUAGGGUAACCGCAAGGAGUCCGCUUACCACGGUAUGCUUCAUGACUGGGGUGAAGUCGUAACAAGGUAGCCGUAGGGGAACCUGCGGCUGGAUCACCUCCUUU
rnacentral:rRNA from 1 species